rnacentral:rRNA from 1 species
CCUACGGGUAGCAGCAGUGGGGAUUAUUGGACAAUGGGGGGAACCCUGAUCCAGCCAUGCCGCGUGUGUGAAGAAGGCCCUCGGGUUGUAAAGCACUUUCAGUGAGGAAGAACGCCUGGUGGUUAAUACCCAUCAGGAAAGACAUCACUCACAGAAGAAGCACCGGCUAACUCUGUGCCAGCAGCCGCGGUAAUACGGAGGGUGCGAGCGUUAAUCGGAAUUACUGGGCGUAAAGCGCGCGUAGGUGGCUUGAUAAGCCGGUUGUGAAAGCCCCGGGCUCAACCUGGGAACGGCAUCCGGAACUGUCAAGCUAGAGUGCAGGAGAGGAAGGUAGAAUUCCCGGUGUAGCGGUGAAAUGCGUAGAGAUCGGGAGGAAUACCAGUGGCGAAGGCGGCCUUCUGGACUGACACUGACACUGAGGUGCGAAAGCGUGGGUAGCAAACAGGAUUAGAUACCCCGGUAGUC